CAACCAAUAUUCAUUUUUCGUCUUCGACACUUCGUCAAAAUACAACAAAACUUCUUAUCAUCCCUCCUGUCUCACUCUCGCCUUCUCUUCAUUCUCUUCUCUCCCAGAAAUUCCAACUAUACUUCAACAUCGCGCUUGGGGAAUUUCUCCCUCUCCAAUCCUGAUUGUCCCUAAUUUCACUUCUUUAUCUGCAAAUCAACCCUAAAUCUUCCAUCUCUAACCCCUUAAUGGCUCUGACACCUUCUUCCACCAAACCCAAGCACAGCCACCAAACCCUAACCAAAACGCCACAACCCAGCCAUUGACUCUAGUUCUUGAAAGAUUACCCGUCACCAAACCCAAGUCAACCCUAAAAGAAUCUCCGUCGGAGCACCCGGUCAAUGUCUUCGCUCGAAUCCAAGACUACCUAGAAGCUAAAGAAGAAGGCCUCCACGUUCCUCUUGCCCCCAGUCGAUGCCUCUAGAGAGAACCCCCUCAUGGCUCAUCGAUUACUCAGUACGUCUCUCUUUCUCAAAAUGGAUUAAUUUGGUUGUUUUUUUUUUUUUUUUUUUUUUUACAGUGGAUGAUACGAAUAAGGAGAUAGAGGAGGUUCAGAGGCAGAGGAAGGCCCCGAUCUGGUGUGUCAGCUCGACAACCUCCAGGGCAUGGUCGAUACCUUCACCACCUUUCGAUGGAAGCGCCAUCAGGUCGAUUAUACGCAAUGGAGCGAGGGCUGAAGAUUCCUCAGAACAAGUGAACCAAGACCACCAAUUCCCUCCUGAUUUCGCUCAUGAAGCAGCUUGAAAAGCUUGUUUACCAACUCUGGCCACAAUACCAAUCUGGAUAGGUCUAUACCAAGCUCUUUCGAAUGUGGCAAAUGAGGUAACUAACAGGUCACAUAUCAAAUUCUCUACUCAAUAUUGGUGAUAUACCGAUGCUUUGCUUGCCUUUGAAUUUUAUGAGUGAAGCCACAGAAUAAAUUCUUCAAAAAUGCUCUGAAGCUUUUGCUUUUCUUUCUAGUUACCUACUAGUUCUUGUCUAUGUAUGCGACUCUUGUUAUCAGUAAUAGUACUGGUAAAACAUGCUGCCAGAUUAAGGAAGCAGAGUUCUUGAAGGGGUUGAACAUGUUAACCCCAUUGAGGGGUGAAAAUUUAGUGAAAUUGAGGGGAUUUUGUUGCUCAAGUGGUCGUGGAGAGUGCUUUCUCGUUUAUGAAUUUAUUCCAAAUGGAAGUUUGCAGUGAUAUCUUGACAUCAAGGAGGGCGACAGCAAUGUUCUUGAAUGGUCAAUGACUAGAGUUUCUAUUGUGAAGGACAAUGCCUAAAGAUAGCAUUGGAGGGCAGUUACAAGGAAGAAUUUGUUCAAAGAAUUUGCCAACCAUUAAUGAAGACUUCAUAAGAGGCAUGUUUUGGAACAACAUAUGUAUCAGCUUGGCCCCAAUUGAUGCCUCUAAAGAGAGCCUUCUCAGGGCUCAUCUAUUACUCAAUACAUCUCUUUCUCGAAAUAGAUUAAUUUGAUGGAUUAAUUUGGUUGUUUGUUUUGACAAUGGAUAGAGAGAUAGAUUAAGAGACUAUUCAGAUCUGCUGCAGGGACAAUAUGAAAAGGAAUUCUCGAUAUGUGAUAUGUCCUGCCAUAUGUGAUAUGUCCAGAAUAGAUGAUGUGGUGAUCACUCCCAAGGGUUUGAGAAAAGGGUGGUUUCACAGGAUGCUCUACCUGUUUUCAAUUUGUCUAUGCUUACAAGGAUAUUGAAAGCUUGGAUGAAGUGAAGAAGAGGUUCAAGGAAGAGUAGCUGUUCAGCCUUUAGUGAUAUUGUUCUCAAUGUUGUUCUUGUGUUUUAAUGUAUGAAUGAUUGAGAAAUACUAUGUUUAUGGUACAUUUGAUGCUUUAAUGUAUGGAUUGGAGUACUUGAAUUGA